rnacentral:rRNA from 1 species
CGGCCGCGUCGACCGCCGUAAACGAUGUCUACUAGUCGUUGGGUCCCUUGAGGACUUAGUGACGCAGCUAACGCAAUAAGUAGACCGCCUGGGGAGUACGGCCGCAAGGUUAAAACUCAAAUGAAUUGACGGGGGCCCGCACAAGCGGUGGAGCAUGUGGUUUAAUUCGAUGCAACGCGAAGAACCUUACCUGGUCUUGACAUAUCUAGAAUCCUGCAGAGAUGCGGGAGUGCCUUCGGGAAUUAGAAUACAGGUGCUGCAUGGCUGUCGUCGAGCUCGUGUCGUGAGUAGUUGGGUUUAGGGUUAACCGUCCCGACGAACGGACGGCCGACCCUAACCCGUUUCGUUACCGUUUAACGUUACCGACGGGUACGGGUUAACGGGACCCGGGUAACUACGUAAGGUACUACGUCGACCGUAGGUACGAAACCUAAACGGUAGGGGAAGGGGAACGGGGGACCGGGGGAACCGGUACCGUACGUAACGUACUACUACUAGGUCCCGGUACCCCGUUAACCGGAACCGGACGGGUACCUAACCGAACCGUACGGUCGUACCUAAACGUAAGGUUAGGGUAACGGUAACGAAGGGGACGGGACAACGGUACCUAACCGAACGACGGACGUAGUUGGUAGUACGUACGGAACGUAAACUUACCGUAAAACGAAAACCGUCCUUAACGUUACGGUACCGUACGAAGUUAGGUUAGGUACGUUCGUACGAACCUUAACCCG